rnacentral:lncRNA from 1 species
CAGAAGGGGGACCGAAAAUUAGGCUGGGAAGAGCUGAUUUCCGGAAAAAGUAGAGCGAGCCUUCUCCUCGUGGUAUUCAAAGAGUACAGACGUACAUAUACGUCGCGGCCACGGCCAUAUGGAGCGAACAUAAAAAGAAGACAGAAGAGGUUGCUGCCAGUUACCGGAUGAGUUCCGAAUAAAUUACCCACGUAACACCGGAGAAAUACGUACGGCGUCCACUGGGCCCAUAGAGGGGCAUAUUUUUGGAAGACCACCCUGGCCCCCACCAGCAGCUUUAGCGCAGGCGCGACCCAGUGCCCGAUUUCCGUUCGAGAGCGGCUCCAACAGCACCAAGGCAGGAACAGCCGCGAUCGAGCCCCUCGACCAUCAUCCCCCGCCUACAACGGCUUGAGAGCCGAAAUUAGCGAGUUGUGUUAAGUGAUGUGACCACCUGACGAUCUCUGACCAAGGCCUUGACGGUAUAUUUCUAUGUGCGGUUCAACAUAACCUGCCUAUGUACCGGUGCCACCACAUUCUGGCUUAACAUUUUUUGUUGCUCCCCUAAACCAACUAAAAUCAACGGCAUAGUGACAGUGAAGAACAAAAUACGAAACUCUAUAUGUUCCACUGUACAUUUAAAACAUAUGUGCACUUGCGAGGUCAUUGACUCGUGCAGGCUACGUAGAGGCCGUGCUUUUCAAAUUUAUACUUGUGUCCCCAUGCCAUCGCUGCCAUGUCUGGAUUCAGACCACGUUUUGAAUUUGAUUAAUACAAAUGUAAAGAAAAGUAGUGAUAUUUAGCGCAAGUGACAAAAACAUUAUGAAACUAACGUAAAAUUUACUUAUUCCAUUAAAUUUGUUUAAAUUCAACCCCAAAAAGAAAUAAUCAAAACAAACGGAGAGAAAUCAUAUGUUUAUGUGUGUAUGAUCCCUUGUGUGUGCUCUCUCUUAAAAGCUUUCAGGUUCGCUCUCCCAUCGCCGAAAGAUCUUUUGGACAUAGAUGACAUAAAGCAAAUACGUAAGUGAAAGAACCUAUUUUAUUGCAAAUCUUAACUUGUUAGAGACUUUACUGCCAUGCACAUUAAAUAAAUACUUGAUCGGUCUUUCUUGUUGUUGCGAUUUCGGCCAACGUAAAGUUGUGAGCUUUCGGAGCUUCUUCAAAGCUUGGCUUUAUCUAUGGAGCUUUACACUUAUGAGAAUUUAAUUAGAGCCAAAAUAAUUUCCGUUGGAAUAAAAAUGAAAAUGAAAUGAAUGAAUUAAAAAUAAUUACAUAUUAAUCCAAAACAAAUCGAACUAAAUUAAAACUUUACAUUUUGAAUACAAUUAAUGGAAUCUAACUAUUAAAAUUAUUAUAAUUAAUAUUUCAUUAUUCACCUUAUUCACUUAUUCAUAUAUAU